rnacentral:lncRNA from 1 species
CUUCUAAAAAGUUUCAAAAAAAAAAAAAAAAAAAAACCCAUCUGUCCAGAAAUCAUCAUUUAUAUAUCUAAAAAACACUUCCACUAGUAUGGCCAAUGGCAUCAAGACUUUCCAUGCAAACAAAUGAUCUAUAGUCUCGAACUCAGCGCCAUACAAAAUACAUUAGUUAUAUCACGACCGCUUUCUUUUGAGUAGAUUGUCCACGGUAAGCAGCAGUCUUUUUUUAACUGCUAGCAGGAGAAAAGUUUUAACUUUAGUAGAAAUUUUCAGUCACCAGUUGGCCUGUAUGAAUAACAAUUUGGCGUUAAUUAAAAAUUUUCAUUAUUAGAGAAUCAUUGUUUUAUUAACUCAUAUUCAACGAUAUCAUAUUGAUCUAUUAUGUUAUCGACCUGCCAAUAAUCUAUUUAUAUUUUUAGAACAUCUGCGCGUAACAGAGAUAAAUUAAAUUUAUUAUUUGACGAAACAAAACAUUCCAUCAGAUGACAAGACAAACGAAUUUGAUAUUUCUGUACAUC